UAUCGAUCGUGUGAAAAAGUUCAUGCAGUUCUUCUCCACUCAGAACUCCAUCAGCAAAGUAAGCUUUGAAUUCAUCAAAGGACAGUUUUCCAUCAUCAUUCUUGUCUGCUCUUCUCAGUAUAUCGCGGAAGAUGCGCAGCCCCGCGCCCAGCUCCGCCGCCAUCCGCCCGCCUCAACCGCCGCCACCGCCUGCAGCGGUGCCGGGACCGCGGAAGGGAACCCGCCGCCCCCCGUCCCCUCCCGGCCCCGGGGCUGGAC
rnacentral:lncRNA from 1 species